UAACAAAUAGCUUAUUGUUAAAGCAUAGUGCUGAAGAUACUAAAAAGAUUUUUAUCUUUGUUAA
rnacentral:tRNA from 1 species